AGCGGCAGCCUUGAAGUUCAACACGAAUUUCCAUCCAGUCGAAGAAUUACCUUUCCUUUACUUAUCCAGUCGACGAAUUACUUACUAUAAGAUCGUUAGAGAUGCUUAUCCAUGUCUAUCCAUAGCGAUCAUGUUUGCCGAAGAUAUAAGGUAUCUUUCUUCUCCAGCUACUAUCUAGUUUCUUCUCCUGCUACUCUAAAAUAAAUCACUUAUCUACAGAAAUGACUUAUUAUAAGCUACAUGAAUAAAUAACUUAUUCGAAGAAUUCCCGAGUGUUUAAUCAAUCCCCAGGCUACUUUUCCCAUAAGGAUCAGAUGAGACCUGUAUGUCUUGCUUUGUACUUAGUGCUCGCAGUGGCUCUGGAAUUUCAGCUAGACCUUGAGCUUUCCUUCUUUGAGCAUGCUUUCCUUCCUCGCUUUUCAC
rnacentral:lncRNA from 1 species